rnacentral:lncRNA from 1 species
AUGCUUGGAGUAUCAUUUGACUUCUCAGCAAGCAGCAAGUGGCAGAACCACUCCUGUCCUUCUCAGUGCCACAGCCCAGUCUCCACGGGAGUAGCCAAAUCCCCACAGUGUGAAUGGGAGAGCUGUGUAGGCUGGAUGCAUCAUGUGCCCAUCACUGAAGCUCGUACACUUCCCAGUGAUAAUCUCUCCAUUCUGAAAACUGUACUUCUGAAGCCUUGGAUACACUUCAGAUUGGAUGAGCUGCAGAGGACUACAGUAUGCCUGUGGUUUCAUGACAGGACAUGUAAUUCAUGCAAACAGCAUAUGUGUCCUUCAAAUGCCUUCCCUCACUUAUGGAGUGAUCCUGUUGUUUUCCCAGCCACUGCCACACAACAAGAUCCAGAUUUCGAAUCAGCAAACAAACACAGCCCGCACCACCAUAUUCUGGUCUCUCCAUCUUGCUUUGCACUGCCUGCUCAUUCCUCAUACCCUAAACAUAAGGCAGAUUUCUCAGCAUCUCCGACUUAUUUCCUUUACUGCUGGCAUUUCUCAGGUUGUCAGUUCCACAUCAUCUCCAAAUCUGCACAUCUUGUUCUACAUUUCCUUCUGUAA